GACCGCCGGGCAAGUUGAGUCUUCAACAAGAGGGAGUUUCGCUCCGCAGUGUUUCCAAGUUGGCUUCCUCCCACUCGCCUGUGUGAUUUUUUACACCCGCGUCAAGUGGGCCGAAACCAUGCAAUGGAGCUUCCGGUGCCCGUACCUGACCUGGCAUAAGGGAUACAACACUGCGACCCCCUGGUUCAACCUGAUCACUGUUUCCUUCAGAUUAGAUAUUUUGGAAAUUAACGACAUUCUGUUACUAUACAGAUUAAUUGCAAAAUUAUCCGAUUUGGCCCUUAAGAAAAAAAAUCCAUUGUCAGUCCACAGUGAAAUUAGUAAAUUGGUUUCUCUAUAAUGUUAUAUGUAUAACAUCUCUAGUUUGCGCUGUAAUUCCUGUAUGGAUGUUUAUUAUGCAUGUAGGGACUAAUAACUGUAAUUGUAAUUAAUGUAGCAUUGUUUCUGGAAAAGCGUUUUUUCAGGAUGCUCUCUUAAGGCAGUUAAACCAGCAGGAAAGCACACUCCUAUUAGUUAACACACUCUGUACAUUUGGGAGUUUGACAGGUAAUAAAUGGCACAAACCCAGUGAGUCGUGCCCUUGCAAAUACAUCACUCUCAGCACAAGGGGAGGGCCCCUGCUGGCACCACUGGUAGUACUGUGUGUGGGACUGGUGCCAUGUUGCUGGUCCAGCUGGCACCUAGAUGGCUGAUAGAAACAUGCAGUCAACCAAGUUUAAGGAUUAAAGGGUCAAACCAGUGUUACCCGAUCAUAGGAGGAGGGCUGCAGUGAGCGAGGCAGGCCUGAAGGACACACAGUUGUAAAAAUGAAAAUCAAAAACUUGGCCGCCACUUGCCUUAUUCUCUGUGAAUUCCUAAUUUAUGAGAGAACAGGAAUGCUUCAGCAGGAAAAACCUGCAUACUUCUUCCAUUUGAAGUUUCUGAGGGCAUGGUGUCAACUCUCAUGCACUAAUGAACUCUGACUACUCUGACUUGUUGUUUGCUUCCAAGACAACUGGGAGAAGGAGCCUGACAGCUCUCAGUAGAACAAAACCAUCCUGGGAUCAGUUAACGCAAAGUUCCGAGUUCCUAAAGGGUUGACGCUCCACAUUAAAGCUCUGAAAUACUGAGAGAUUACCAGUGAGCAGAGAAACCCCCGGGCUGACUUCUACCAGGAGGAGGGAAAACUCUGGGCGACGCAUCACAUCUUGACAAGGCAUCAGUGUUCACAGGGUUCCCACACUUACUUAAGACACUGGCAUUUAAGAUCUGGCUUGCUGGAAUUUGCUGUGUUAUUAUCUGCAGGUUUAGGGACAGGGCAAGGCAUGGUGUGGAAGCUUUUCAAAUCCAGAAACUUAUACACAUUUUCAAGGACUGUAAGGAAUCAACCACAAAAAUAACAAAAACACAACUAUGAAUAGAAAAUUGUUGGUUUUAUUUCUGAAUCAAGAUCGGACAGUGGUUUAGGUGUGCUAUUAGACAGUAUUUAUGACAUAUGGGAUUGUUUAAGAAUCAGAUCAAAACAAAUGCACAUUCAACUCUUACCAACAAUGACUGAUUAUGAACCUAAAGAAACUAUUCCUGCUAAUCUCCUGAUGAAUUCCAUGACUUUGUGAAUUUAUAAUCAGAUUCUAUUUAAUACAUUUAUUACAAAGGACGGAAACAAAAACAUGGACACGUAUGUAAACCAAAAAAACAAAACAUAAUCAAGAAUACUUAUGAGACAUUCCAGUUCUUUUGAGUAGCUUCACUAAAAAAAAAAAAAAAAAAAAAAAAAAAAAAAAAAAUGCAAUCAAAGACAGAAGACCCCCAUCUGAGAAUUGUGCAAAAUCUAUCAUUAUCACGUAGUAGAAAUCUAGACAUGUAUCACACAUCCUAAUCACUGUAAACAACAUUAGAAGACGUGCUCACAGUUGGCAGCUCAAACCCGCAGAGGUUGACUGAAAUACAGAGAAACAGCCAGCCUGCAGAUGAGUCUUGCAUGGCACCAGAGAUCAUUCAGGAUGACCAGGGUGAAUUAUGCAACCCAGUUCAGCCUGAUAUUGUUUUAUAUACAAUUUAAACAUUUUCAUGGUUGUGUUUUUCAGCACUCUGAGACCAUAAAUGACUCAGAGAUUGUUCCUGUGUUUUCUCUGCAAUGGAAGAGAAACUGGUGCAGAAAAACACACUUGGAUCUCAAAGCUGUAGGUUAAAGCAGCAGCCUGUUUAAAUUUCAACUAGUUUUCCAAAACUCUGUAUGAAAAAAGGUUAUCCCUAACAAGUCACAUGACUCAAAUUAUGUCAGUAGGAUAAAUAUUUCACCCUGUCUCACAAAGCUUUAACCAACACCUCGCAUUGCAAAUAAAUCUCAACAGGCAAAUGUAUAACCAUUAAAAUGAUAUUAAAAUGAUUUUUUUAACAGUGUAAUCAUGCCAACUUUACAUUAUGUCAUUUCAAACCCAACAGACCUAUUAUAUUUCUAUUUUUUGGAGAAAACCAAAGUAUCUUUUUUUUUUUUUUUACAUGAAGAAAAUAAUCUAAUCUGCACUAAUAAAACAACCAAUGGCACAGGAAGACACAAGUAUCUCACAUCAAAACAACAUGAGGAGAAUUAUACCAGAACAGGUGACAUUAUGGCAACAGAUGAAGUGAAAGUGCAGAGUCACAGUGAUUUUGAAUUAGGAGGAUGAGGUAUGUUUUCUUGGCCACAUUUAGGAGGCACUGAGGUGAAACCAAUAUUAGGAACAUGAUGAGGAAAAAACACAGCAAUCUGUCUCUGGAAGACAAAAGCAACAACUUGGAUUUAAAAACAAACUGGAAAAAAAACA